GCAAACUUGGUCAUUUAGAGGAAGUAAAAGUCGUAACAAGGUUUCCGUAGGUGAACCUGCGGAAGGAUCAUUACAAAUGACCAGGCAAAAGAUUUAUCUGCUGUCGUACGGUCGAUCUAUUUUUACCGUAGCUUGCAAGAGCUUCGUGUACACCCUUUGUGAACCUUUAAACUUUGCUUCGGCAGCACUCUGUGCUUAAAAACACGGAGGUAAGGCUGUCGAUAGCCCAUAUUAAAACCAGUUGAUAAAAUUCUUGCAGUCUGAAACUUUUUGAGAAAUCAAAUUACAAGUUAAAACUUUCAGCAACGGAUCUCUUGGUUCUCGCAUCGAUGAAGAACGCAGC
rnacentral:misc_RNA from 1 species